GACACAAAAGAUGUAUUAUCAGCAGAGCACACUUGACAUUCAACCAUUUGGCGAACCCAACCCAACCCCAGGCAUUUCUCCCCCCUCCAUGCCCGCCUCCCCUUUAAAAUAACAAUAAAAUAAAAGGAAGAAGAAAAAGGUCAUUAACGGUCCUUUAGAGGAGCUGAGAAGCUGUCACUCCGGGUGUCACAUCAGCUCUACUUUCCUAACCAACGUUUUUUCUCUUUAGGGGUUGUCUGAAGAUAUUCCCCUUUUGCUGCUGCAACAGGCGACCCAGGCUCUGAGCCAGAGCAAAGCUCUCAGAUGCCAGUUUUAAACAGAAAAGCCAGCAGGGCUGCAUGAAGGGAAAUGCCAGAAUCUCAGACCACCCUGACUCUUUAAAGAACGUAAACAUGAUAGAUUACUCUUAAUAAAGCUGUUUGAGGGUUCUUGGGGUGGGAGGGCAGAGUAACAGCUCACUGGGGAUAAGAGAAAGAAGCAAGCGAGAAACGCCUCUGGGUCGCCCACAAGCAGCGAUUGCUCUAGUUGGAAACCGGCACAGCCACCCAGUGGGAAGUCACAGGUUUCUAGACUGUUCUGUACUUCCAGGGUCACCUUCUAAGUCUCCCAGUGUCACCUGCAGGACAGGGUUCCCGAAUUCUCUAUAAAGAUGUUGAAAUGAUUGGGCAAGAGUCAUGAGCUAAAGUGGCGAAACUGUUUUCACGUCCUCUGUCUCCGAUGAAAGCCUCUACCUCCUUUUAAAAGAUCACGCAGAGGGACUCAAUUAAAAAGCACCUCUGAGACCAUUCCACCUGCGCCCCCACGUCGAGGCGAGGCUCUCCCAGAACUCCGGGUCAGGCAGACUCUGGAGUGAAUAGCACACAUACGAGCUCGUCAGUAACGGCGUCACGCAGUUUAGACAGAUAAUCGGCACAAUUUAUCACAGUUCAGUAACUUCGGCUUUGUUCUUCUGCAGGUGAAACAGGGGGCGGGGGGGGGGGGAUGUCAGGACAAAAGCUGUGGCUUCCAGAGGAACUGGCACAGAGAUAAGGGGAAUUUUUCUAAAUAGGUUUUUCUAUAUUUUGACACAAGUUCAAACAUAUACUAGACUGACUCACUGCACAACCUCGGACACACAUUUACACCAACGCCACGGCCUCAGCAGGGACGAUCGACUCCCCAGAAACGCGCAUUUCCAGUGUCUCUUAGCCGUUCAUAAAGUACAUUAAAAUCCAGCUUCAACUUUGCAGGGCAGUUUGUAGAAAUCCAGGCGCUGCUUCAAAACAGAGCCUAUUCAGAGGGAGUUGUUCUAUUCCUUUGUAACAAUUUAAAUUGAUAAUUAACUUUAGGCGUGAUGCCCAGCUUUCAUGUCAGGACUAUAGAGAUCCCUGCAGUCGACUAGAUAAACCUGUGAAGCCAAAUCGCUGGAUGGCAUCCCCACACAGACCAGUUCAGGUUAUUCCAUCCUCAGAAAACGAUGGAAGCAGGAGGCCUUGUUCAAACAUCCUAGACGGCCUGCUGUUCGCCCCUCAACCACGGCCAAUGAGCAGGGCCACCCUACCGCACGGUUUAUCCCUAACCACUGCCAACGAGCAGCGCCGCCCCAAAGCAGCACAGAGAGUAAGAUGCACGGGUGACCAGGCGCCACCAGAAGGGCAAGGACAGGCCCGCGGGACAGAGACAGUCAGGGCCCAAACUCAGGAAACACCCACCAGAAAAAGAGCCUGGGUUGCGUGUCCUAGUGAGGUUGUGAUGGGUCGAUGGCCUCAUGGGGCAGGGACAGUGACCCGGGCAGCGGGAACAGCACAGGCCAAGAGAGGAAGGGCCUUUCUGCAGGCCUCUGCUUUGACCCUCCCAGGACGCUGAAAUGACCUGGACCUCACAGGACACUGCAGUGACCAGGACCUCACAUGACACCGCAACACGACAGCACAGUGACCACGACGCCACAUGACACAAUGACCAGGACCUCACACCACACCGCAGCGGCCACAGGCCACAAGCACCACCCCUCUGAAGAGAGCCAGUGCAUUAAGCUCUCUGGAUGCAGGAACCCCGCGUCAGAACAACCAGAGCUGAGACGCACCGCCCCCGCUGUGCAGACGGCGAGGCUGAGACUCCAGACUCCGAGCGCUGCGCGCACGGCCACUCGACACCGGGAUCCACGUCGCCAGGCUCUCCCCUCACGGGACACGGAGGGCGAGCCCGCCAGGAGGUUAUCUUUUACUUUCUUGAUGGGGCCUUUGAACACAAAAGACUUUUUAAUUUUGAAGAAGUACGAUUUGUCUUUUUUUUUGGUAGUAUGAGCUUUGGGUGUCGUAUCCAGAAGGGUGCUGCCCAGCCCAGGAAGGGCUUCGAGAUUUUCUCCUGUAUCUUUAAAUGAAGUUCUAGUGACUGUGGUCUUACGUGGCGGGAUUUGUGCCUGCUUAGAAGACAGGACUCACGUGGGGCCAUGGCGGCUCUGCGUGUCUGUGACAAGGUCCUCCUUCCUCCCGUCUGAACCGCCUUUCGCACCAUUGGCUGAAAGCCAACCACCCGCAGGUGCGGGGGUUUAUCCCCGACUUUGGGUUCCCUCCGCUGAUGGGAAGAGAAGGCGUGAGGACCACGCCACGCCGUCUUCGUCCCCACGGCUUUACGGAAAGUGCUAAAACCUAAAAGUGCGAAGAUCCCAAGUGUGUUCCUCUUUUUUAAAAAACUGGAAACAUUUUUGAACCAUACUUCAUUGACAACGUUGUGCCAACUUCUGCUGUACAGCAGGGCGACGCAGUCACACAUACAUACACGUGUACAUACAUAUGCACGCUUCCUGUCCCGUGUUAUCUUCCCCUUGGCCCACGCCCAGAGACUGGACGUGCUUCCCGAGCUGUGCAGCAGGACCUCAGGGCUCGGCCACGGCGAAUGGAGCAGAGCGCAUCUAUUAACCCCAAACGCCCAGUCCAGCCCACUCCCCCUCCUCCCCCUCGGCAACCACAGGUCUGUCCGUGUCCGUGCCGACUGCGUUCGUUCUUAAGUCGCUUUCAGUUAGUCUCUGUCCCUUGGAUUCACAUAUGAAUUUCUGGAUCAGCCUGUUACUUUCUGCCAAAAAGCCGACUGGGAUUGUGUGGGGUUGUGUUGAACCUGCAGGUCACGGGGGCGAGCGUUUCCCAAAGCGUGCACCCUCUGAUGCAGGGGCACGGGAUGUCUUUCCAGCGAUGCAGGCUUUUUUUUCUUUUUUCUUUUCUUUUUUUUUCAGGUCUGCACCUGCGGCACAUGGAAGCUCCCAGGCUAGGGGUUGAAACGGAGCUGCAGCUGCUGGCUUAGACCACAGCCACAGCAAGACCGGAUCUGAGCGGCAUUUGUAACCUAUGCUGCAGCCUGCAGCAACGCCAGAUCCUUAACCCACUGAUGGAGGCCAGGGAUCGAACCCACAUCCUCACGGACACUACAUCGGGUUCUUAACCCCCUGAGCCACAACGGGAACUGUGAUUCGGGUCUUCUUAAGUUCCUCUGAGCAACGUUCAGCAGUUUCUAGAGAAUAUGCUUUGCACUUUAUGCAGCAGGAACUGGCACAAGACUGUCAACUAUAUUUAAAUUAAAAAAAAAAAAAAACAACAACUUUGCACUUCUUGGGUUAAAUUUUUUCCCUAAGCCUUUAUUCCUCUAAAGUUAUUCUAAGUGUAACUUUUCUUAAUUUCACUCCCAGAUUAAUUUGAAACAUUUUUAUUGCCACCAUGCGUUUCACAAUUAAUUCUUGGGAGAGGCUUAAAACGAUUUUUUUUCAAUUUGUCUCUUCAUUUUCCCCCCUUAUCACACACAAGGAUAUUCUCUAUGAGAAAACUCUAGAAAAUCACUACACCUGACGGCUGAGGCCUCAUUAGAGGUCGCUCUGUCCAACUGCCCCGCAAGUGCAAGAGAAGAAAGAGGCACAGAACCCCUGAGCGUCUGCCCGCGGACAGGGUCGGGCUGAGCCGCCGAGCCGGACCCCAGCCUGCGGGGCUCACUGGCUGCCUGCCGCGCCUUUGCCAGCCCCCGCAAUGCAGGGAUGAGGUCACCCGAGUGCUUGCGCUACUGCAGCACCUGCGAAUGAUGGCACCCCCAUAAUUAUCUUAACGAGACUUGAUUUCUAAAGCCUUAAAUUAGAAGACCGAGCAAGGAGGAAGACCAAGAAAUGAAAAGUCAGCCCAGCACAAAUUGGCCAAAGGCCAGCUGCUGGUCCCUGGCUGUGCUACUGAAACUGCUGAGCAGCCGAGAAGCUAUAGCCCUCUGCUCUCUCCCAGGACAGCAGCAGAUGCCAGGCCCAGUGCCAGGGACAUGGGGCAACCCGGCAAUCAACGCCGAGACUCAAGGAGUUAAUACCUCCCCGUCCUGUCUACAAACAAGGACAGUAACAGGAGUUGCGUGUAGAUUUGACGCCUGAGUAAGAAAAUCCCAGAAACAUGAUUGGCUAGUUCUCAAUAAA